rnacentral:lncRNA from 1 species
GGCGUUUAUCCUGUGAAAACAGAAGUCUCAAGACCUGCGUGGUUGCAUGAGUAACAAGCUAUGAAUUCUGUAUCCCCACGUGUGGUACUAAACGAUGGUCACUUCAUCCCUGCACUGGGGUUUGGAACCACUGUGCCCGAUAAGGUAAGAGUUGUGUCUUGGGCUUAAGAGUUUAUAGGAGAAGAGAUCAAGGAUGUGCUUUUAGAUUUGCUCCUGUUUGCUUCAGGCUCACAUUAGACAUCAGGUCUGCAGAUUACAGCUAUUCAUGUGUAAUAGAGGAGUCAGACUUGUUACUGUUCCUUGGAGACUUAUCAUGUGGACAAUAUUGUUUAUUCUGGGCUCUGCUCUGUUUCUCCUUUAGUUUCAGUCUAUUUUACAGUAAAUGAAAACCAAUCAGUACUACUGCUGUGCUUUGAAUUGAUUACAAAAGGAUUAGUGACAUGGAUUUUUUUUUCUUUCUGUGCUUCAAAUAACUAUUCCUCUCAGAAGCCAGAAAACAAAUUUGUAGUAGAACUUAUUGGAGUUUAUGACAAAUGAUCAGACAAAGAGCAGAGUCUGAGUCCACAGCACAAACUUCAGACCUGCACUGAAGUAGAAUUUCUUUCCUACUUUCACUUUAGAAGCAUUUACCUAAAAAGAAAAUAGAACACUAUUUUUGGGGUUAAUUAUAAUUUAACAAAGCAACUCUAAAUCCUUGCUCCAUGAUCCCAUUCAUGACAUUUGAAUCAAAAUACAACAGGAGGUUUUCCUGGGGAAAUGUUUUCAUUCUGAUCUCAUCCUCUGGUUACUUACUCAGUGCGUGGCAAAGACUGGCACUGCAAGCUUAAGUCGCAAUUUUCUCAUGCAGAAGACAUGAUCAUAGAGAUACUUUGACCUCUUCUGAUAAGAAUUUUUACUUAGCAUGCAUGCUUGAAAGAGAGGUAAGGAGCAAAGAUAUCACAGCAGCUCUAGUUUCAGUAAAUCUGUAGGAGUCAGUACAGUUUAGAGAAGGGCAGGGCUGCGUUGUGUAAACUGGAACUCAGUGUUUGAGCUCAGUGGUUAAGAGCACUGGCUCCUGUGGCAGAGGAACUAGGUUCAAGUCCUGGCACCCUCAUGGUGGCUUACAACUGUCUGUAAUUCCAGGUCCAGGAGAUUCAAAAUCCUCUUCUUGUCUCUGCUGACACCAGGCAACAUAGACAUGCAGGCUGGCAAAACACUUAAGAUAAAAUAGUGUUUUUAAAUGGAAAACUAAAUUAUACUAUUUUACGUAGAUUGAAUACAUUAGAGAAAACAAUUCCUGAAACAUUUUGUCGGGCCUUUGAUGAAUUGAGUCUGAUUGGUCCCUGGGCUCACAGGGCAGAAGAGAAAAGGUACACACAGGACUUCCUUAGAUAUUCAGAUCACACACAAAAACAUGCUCUCUCUCUCUCUCUCUCUCUCUCUCUCAUGUGCAUGUGCACAAAUAACAAAAAU